CCCUUAGAUGUUCUGGGCUGCACGCGCGCUACACUGAUGCGUUCAACGAGUUUUUAGCUUAUCUGAUAAGAUUGGCUAAUCUUCUGAAAACGCAUCGUGAUGGGGAUAGAUUAUUGUAAUUAUUAAUCUUCAACGAGGAAUUCCUAGUAGGUGUGAAUCAUCAGUUCACGCCGAUUACGUCCCUGCCCUUUGUACACACCGCCCGUCGCCCCUACCGAUUGAGUGAUCCGGUGAAUAAUUCGGACCGGUGAGCUUCCAGGUUUACCUGGCUGCUUGCUGGAAAGUCUAGUGAACCUUAUCACUUAGAGGAAGGAGAAGUCGUAACA
rnacentral:rRNA from 1 species